CGCACUUGGCAUCUGGUCCUCA
rnacentral:miRNA from 1 species